rnacentral:rRNA from 1 species
AUGACGCAUCAUCAGAGGCCGAAGAAGAUGGUAGCUUUUGGAGGAGCCUUGACUGGGACGCGAUAUCUGGGUUGUCAUGUGCAGCAGGAUGUAGGUGUGAACUGUGGGGUUGUGGAGUGGGUGGAUGGUCCUUGGCCAGAGAUUCUACAAAGGUGCCUAGCAAGGAUUUGGGACAUGUACCAUGAGCAGAACUUGGCGAGGGUGAAGGACAAACAAGCCCAUGAGAAAGAGGUGGCCAAGCUAAAGAAGGAAAUUGAUUUCCUGUCAAACAACUACAGCUAG